UACGAAGGGGCGUAGCGUUGUCUCGGAAGUACACUGGGCGGUAAAGACGCACGUAGGCGGCUUUCUUAAGUACAGGGUGGAAAUACCUGGAGCUCAACUCCAGAACUGCCUUUGUAUACUGGAGAGCUUGAGUUCGGGUAGAGGUGAGUGGAACUGCGAGUGUAGAGGUGAAAUUCGUAGAUAUUCGCAAGAACACCAGUGGCGAAGGCGGCUCACUGGCCCGAUACUGACGCUGAGGUGCGAAAGCGUGGGGAGCAAACAGGAUUAGAUACCCCCAGUAGU
rnacentral:rRNA from 1 species